AGAGUUUGAUCCUGGCUCAGGAUGAACGCUAGCGGCAGGCUUAACACAUGCAAGUCGAGGGGUAUAGUUCUUCGGAACUAGAGACCGGCGCACGGGUGCGUAACGCGUAUGCAAUCUACCUUUCACAGAGGGAUAGCCCAGAGAAAUUUGGAUUAAUACCUCAUAGUAUAAUGAGUUGGCAUCAACGCAUUAUUAAAGUCACAACGGUGAAGGAUGAGCAUGCGUCCCAUUAGCUAGAUGGUAAGGUAACGGCUUACCAUGGCAACGAUGGGUAGGGGUCCUGAGAGGGAGAUCCCCCACACUGGUACUGAGACACGGACCAGACUCCUACGGGAGGCAGCAGUGAGGAAUAUUGGACAAUGGGCGCAAGCCUGAUCCAGCCAUGCCGCGUGCAGGGUGACGGUCCUAUGGAUUGUAAACUGCUUUUGUACAGGAAGAAACACUGGUUCGUGAACCAGCUUGACGGUACUGUAAGAAUAAGGAUCGGCUAACUCCGUGCCAGCAGCCGCGUAAUACGGAGGAUCAAGCGUUAUCCGGAAUCAU
rnacentral:rRNA from 1 species